rnacentral:rRNA from 1 species
AUGCCUGGAGGCAGGACUGCCCACUCGAGGUUCAAGAUCCCAUUGAGCUGCGACGAUGGCGCCUCAUGCACCUUCACGAAACAGAGUGGUACCGCCAAGCUACUGAGGAUGGCCUCAUUGAUACUAUGGGACGAGGCCACCAUGACUAAGCGACAGGCGGUCGAGGCACUUGACAACAGCAUGCGCGACAUCAUGGGAAGACGGGACCGACCCUUUGGAGGAAAAACUGUUGUGUUUGGCGGGGACUUCAGGCAGGUGCUUCCGGUCGUCAGGAGGGGGUCCCGGGGUCAGAUAAUCGAUGCAACCCUUCGAAGUUCACACCUCUGGAAGGGUAUGCGCCAGCUAAGGCUCGUCACCAACAUGAGGGCUCAUAAUGACACCUGGUUUGCGGAUUACUUGCUAAGGGUAGGCAAUGGCACUUAG